AACGUAGGAGACGAACGUUAUCCGGAGUUACUGGGCGUAAAGGGCGUGUAGGCGGUUUGUUAAGUCUGGCGUGAAAGCUCUCGGCUAAACCGGGAGAGGUCGUUGGAUACUGGCGAACUAGAGGAUGGUAGAGGCGUGUGGAAUUCCGGGUGUAGUGGUGAAAUGCGUAGAUAUCGGGAGGAACACCAGUGGCGAAGGCGACUUCCUGGCCUGUUCUUGACGCUGAGGCGCGAAAGCUAGGGUAGCAAACGGG
rnacentral:rRNA from 1 species